CUUAGGUUUCUCUCUCUCCCUCUACCUUUCCCUCUCCCUCUCCAGCCUCUCUCUCUCUCUCUCUCUCUCUCUCUCUCUCUCUCUCUCUCUGUGAGUCUCUCCCAUUCACAGACCCCACCAGCGACCACCGCUUGAGACCUAUCAUCAAAGACCCUAGCCACCGUAAACCGAACCAUCCCAACGCAAACUACCCAGACCUUCCACACCCAAGGCCACGGCAACCACCAAGUGGCACGACCACACACGACCACCUGCACCCUUCAAAAUCGCUGCCUCGCGAGACUAUCUCCACAUAAAACCAACGCCACAGCUCGGCCAUGAAUCACCCACUUACACCACCCAGUCACGGCCUUGCACCACCACUACCAACCCUACGUAAACCACCAUAAAGCCUCUACUUUUCCACAUUCGAAACAGAGCACUGCUCUCUCAUAACUCACCUCAGCCGCUGCCCCACGUCGGAACCACCCUGGUGAGCCUCUACUACUUAGACCUGCCCUUGUGAGCCUCACUCACCAACCCGAGUAGCUCCACCAUGAAGAGCUCAAACAACCAUUGUUGUCGUCCAGUUGAGCAUCACUGCGGGAUUGGAAGGCAACCAUCGGCAACAACUCCAGAUUGUGGGAGAUCGUCGGAUUACAGCCCCCACCGUUCUAUCGUACUCCGCCCCUCACCACGGUUGCACAGCCUAAGCCAACCCUCGGUUUCUCCCUCUAUCUCUUGCUACUGAGUUUAUUCUAUAUAAGCUGAAAAUGGUGAGAAGAUAACUGAAGUCCACAGUGCUGCCAAGUUUAUUGUAUAUAAGCAUUCCCAAAUGACAGUUGGAAAUAAUUGAAGAAGACAUUUCAUUUGUAAAUUUGUAAUGUUAAAGUUUGAAUAUCAGGAUGUUGAUCAGUUUAGAACUGUGGGGAUGAACUAUUAUUUUGGUAUUUACUGACUCAGUUUUCCUUACUACAAAUAUAUUCAGAUUCCAACUAUUUAUAGACUAAUACAAAGAUCACUGUACAGAGCAUAUUUCUCA